rnacentral:rRNA from 1 species
AUACGAAGGGUGCAAGCGUUACUCGGAAUUACUGGGCGUAAAGCGUGCGUAGGUGGUUCGUUAAGUCAGAUGUGAAAGCCCCGGGCUCAACCUGGGAAUUGCAUUUGAUACUGGCGGACUAGAGUGCGGUAGAGGAGAGUGGAAUUCCCGGCGUAGCAGUGAAAUGCGUAGAGAUCGGGAGGAACAUCAGUUGCGAAGGCGGCUCUCUGGACCAGCACUGACACUGAGGCACGAAAGCGUGGGGAGCAAACAGGAUUAGAUACCCUGGUAGUCCACGCCCUAAACGAUGCGAACUGGACGUUGGGUGCAAUUGAGCAUUCAGUGUCGAAGCUAACGCGUUAAGUUCGCCGCCUGGGGAGUACGGUCGCAAGACUGAA